UGAGUAUCGGCAAGUCAAGGUGCCUGAACAAGGCUUAAAAGGGAAUCCGGUGAAAAUCCGGAACUGUCCCCGCAACUGUAAAUGCGUACGAACGGGUCAUAUCCACUGUAUCGAAGGGCCGGCGCUCCAAGACGCGUCCUCCGCACCAAUCCGGCCAUUCGAUGCGGGAAGGGACCCAAGUAGGAUGAUGCAUGAGUCAGGAGACCUGCCUUGCUUGCCUAAAGUUU
rnacentral:ncRNA from 2 species